UACGUAGGGGGCAAGCGUUGUCCGGAUUUAUUGGGCGUAAAGAGCGUGUAGGCGGUCAGGUAGGUCCGUUGUGAAAACUCGAGGCUCAACCUCGAGACGCCGAUGGAAACCAUCUGACUAGAGUCCGGAAGAGGAGAGUGGAAUUCCUGGUGUAGCGGUGAAAUGCGUAGAGACCCGGAGGAACACCAGUGGCGAAGGCGGCUUCCUGGUCUGCAACUGACGCUGUGGCGCGAAAGCUAGGGGAGCAAACGGG
rnacentral:rRNA from 1 species